rnacentral:rRNA from 1 species
ACCUCCGUACGGGAGGCAGCAGUUAGGAUUUCCGCAAUGACGAAAGUCUGACGGAGCAAUGCCGCGUGAGUGAUGAAGGUUUUCGAAUCGUAAAGCUCUGUUGUAAGGGAAGAAUAGCAGUAGUAGGAAAUGACUACUGUGUGACGGUACCUUACCAGAAAGCCACGGCUAACUACGUGCCAGCAGCCGCGGUAAUACGUAGGUGGCAAGCGUUAUCCGGAAUUAUUGGGCGUAAAGCGCAUGUAGGCGGCUCUUUAAGUCUGAUGUGAAAGCCUGUGGCUCAACCACAGAAUUGCAUUGGAUACUGGAGAGCUAGAAUCUUGGAGAGGUAAGUGGAAUUUCAUGUGUAGCGGUGGAAUGCGUAGAUAUAUGAAGGAACA